AUGUCCAUUUCCAUUCGUUUAUCGAUUUUGGCGGUGCCAUCAGAAGUGGCCAGAUUGUCUGGGGCCUGUUUGGAACAUAAUAAUUUCACAGGAGACACAAAAAGCCCUCCAAAAUCCGCACGCAAAUCAUUCAUUCCCUAUAAGAGGUCUAAGGCUACCAGAUCAAUGAUUUCGCAAUUUGGAUGGACAAAGGAAACUGUGGUACAGUUACCUUACAAUUAUUUGUUGUUGAUGUUUGAAAAGACUUUUGUUAUCGAUAUGACUUCUAUUAAGAACCUAAUGUGCGAGCAUGUCCUAAAUGGAUUCGAAAGUGAAAAGUGGACACAAAUCUAA
rnacentral:rRNA from 1 species